AUUAAGUAUAGUCACUAGAUACAUGGAUUCAAAAAAGUUGAGCUUUCUCCUUGUGCUCUUGGUGAUUGAGUCAUGUUCGUCUCACUUUUUCUAUAUUUAUGUGUAUGAUACGAUCACAUGUAUAUGUGUUCAUAUAACAAUUCAUUUCUAUGUUUAAGAAUUCAUUUGUUUGUUGCAGGUGUUUUACUUGAUGUUGAAGCAAGAGGACGUGUGGUUAUUUUCCAUUGUACGAGUGACCAGGAUUGCGCCAACAGUUGUCAGGGAAUUGGUGCGCCAAAGUGCAUCAAAACACUGUGUGAAUGUUUCCCUCCAGUCACAGGCGGCAUGAACAAGUCUGGUGUUAAUAAGGAAAUCUUGAAUAAUUGAAUUGAAGAAGCAUGCUCAUGAAGUAUGAACUUCAAAGCCUUUUCUGUAAUAAAGGCUUCAUAAUAAUGUAAUAAAUCAUUACUCCCGAGGG
rnacentral:lncRNA from 1 species